rnacentral:lncRNA from 1 species
GCAGGCCGCACACGCGCCGGACCGGGUACCGCUGUGCCCGGCCUGGCCGCGGCCUAGUCCCGGCAGACGGGACUGACGAGGUCACCAAGCCCAGGCCGAGACGGCGCGGGUGUCAGGGACUUGGGAAUCCCCCUCCCCCAGUCCCGAUCCCGCUUUCCUUUGGGGUUUCACCUCAGAGGACCCGACAGCACUCUUGCAGAACAGCCGUCUGCCUGUCUUCCUGGCUCGCUCCCUGCAGGAAUGGUCUGGGGCAACCCCAGCAACACGCCCACCUGUGGCCAGGAUGAAUAGGAAUCCAGUUCAGGCUUGGCUUCCAUGGCAAUCAAGGCCCACCAGGCCCCAGCAACCUUCCCUACCCCCCAUUCCUUUUUGCUGCCCCCCUCCACACCAGGCAUGUUCCCUGCCACACCAUGCUGUUCCCCUCACCUGGGCUGCCCUCCCAACUCCUCUCUGCCUCUGGAGAUGCUCUGCCAUUCAAGACUUGGCUCAGGCUCCAGGUCCUCCCUGGGCCUUCUAGAGCCCCUGGUUCUCACUCCUCUGAACACUUCCAGCCUGGCUAAUAGCCCACUGCAUCCUGGCCUGGGGUACAGGUGGCCAGCACAGGUGUGGGGGCCAGCUUCCAA